GUUCACCUUAGUUCACCUUGAUCUGACGUAGUGACAGAAACCUAACAGGAUUGUACCCAUGGCAAGUUGGAAAAGGAAAAUCUGCCGGUACCUGCCCCAGUUCCACUUGCGGACAGCUAUCCCGAGGGCGACGAGAAUCAGGUUUCUACCGUUAGGCAUGACCUCGAGUGUUUGCGUGUGUGUGUGUGUUUCUGACUCCUCUAGCCAGCAAGCUAAGGGCGCUCCUGAGAUUCCAUAAGCAUCGCCGUAUGAACCUUCCGAUGUUCUUUGCAAAG